CUGGGAAAAGCGAAAGCGCGCAGAAAGCAGAUCCGGUGCAGAGAAUAAGCUGCAUGAGGAGAGGCUCUUUGCCUAGAGACUCCUUUAUCCUCACCAUGUAGCUCAGUGCCUGGGAAGGGACUUGAAAGCUGUAUGCACUGCUGCUACUUACAUUCUACUGAAAACUAAGCUGUGUGGUCACUUUAAACUACAAAGAGAGCUGGAAACCUGUUUUUUGCAGAAAAGCAUGUGGAUACUCUACUAAAGGACUUCAUGGACCAGAUCCAGAACCAUGGAAACAUUGGAGAACUUUUUCCAGCUCCAUACCACUCUGACUUCCUUAGCCAGGCAGCCUUGUGAUCUGGCUCAGCAUUGUAUAAAAUGAAUUUGUCACCAUAA